rnacentral:tRNA from 1 species
UAUGUUGUAGACUAAUGGGUAAGUCAUAAAUUUUUGAUAUUUACUAAUGAGUGUUCGAGUCACUUCAACAUAA